UACUGAGGUGGCAAGCGUUGUUCGGAUUUACUGGGCGUAAAGGGUGCGUAGGUGGUCUCCUAUGUCGAAUGUGAAAUCCCAAGGCUCAACCUUGGAAUUGCGUUCGAAACUGGGAGACUUGAGUGCAGGAAGGGAGAGCGGAAUUCUUGGUGUAGCGGUGAAAUGCGUUGAUAUCAAGAAGAACACCGGUGGCGAAGGCGGCUCUCUGGAAUGCUACUGACACUGAGGCACGAAAGCUGGGGGAGCAAACAGG
rnacentral:rRNA from 1 species